rnacentral:rRNA from 1 species
AACGAACGCUGGCGGCGUGCCUAACACAUGCAAGUCGAGGGAGAAAGGGAGCUUCGGCUCCCGAGUAAACCGGCGCACGGGUGAGUAAUACGUAGGUAACGUACCUUCGAGUCUGGGAUAACCAGUCGAAAGACUGGCUAAUACCGGAUACGACCGAGGGGGCUUCGGCUCUCACGGUGAAAGAUGGCCUCUGCUUGCACGCUAUCACUCGAGGAGCGGCCUGCGCACCAUUAGCUAGUUGGUGAGGUAACGGCUCACCAAGGCUGAGAUGGUUAGCUGGUUCUGA